AGAACGAACGCUGGCGGCAUGCCUAAUACAUGCAAGUCGAACGAACUCUUCGGAGUUAGUGGUGCACGGGUGCGUAACGCGUGGGAAUCUGCCCCUUGGUUCGGAAUAACAGUUGGAAACGACUGCUAAUACCGGAUGAUGACGAAAGUCCAAAGAUUUAUCGCCAAGGGAUGAGCCCGCGUAGGAUUAGCUAGUUGGUGAGGUAAAGGCUCACCAAGGCAACGAUCCUUAGCUGGUCUGAGAGGAUGAUCAGCCACACUGGGACUGAGACACGGCCCAGACUCCUACGGGAGCAGCAGUGGGGAAUAUUGGACAAGUGGGCGAAAGCCUGAU
rnacentral:rRNA from 1 species